rnacentral:rRNA from 1 species
CCCUUAGAUGUUCUGGGCUGCACGCGCGCUACACUGAAGCGUUCAACGAGUAUUCACCUUGCCCGGGAGGGUUGGGUAAUCUUUUGAAAACGCUUCGUGAUGGGGAUAGAUUAUUGCAAUUAUUAAUCUUCAACGAGGAAUUCCUAGUAAGCGCGAGUCAUCAGCUCGUGCUGAUUACGUCCCUGCCCUUUGUACACACCGCCCGUCGCUCCUACCGAUUGGGUGCUCCGGUGAAUUGUUUGGACUGCUGUCAGUCUUUUCGGCUGUCGGCGAGAAGCUCUGUGAACCUUAGCACCUAGAGGAAGGAGAAGUCGUAACA